UACGGAGGGGGCUAGCGUUGUUCGGAAUUACUGGGCGUAAAGCGCGCGUAGGCGGACCUGCAAGUCGGGGGCUCAACCCUCGGAUGCCGAGCGAUACUGUCGGGCUAGAGUCCGGAAGAGGCGAGUGGAAUUCCAGGUGUAGCGGUGAAAUGCGUAGAUAUCUGGAGGAACACCGGUGGCGAAGGCGGCAUCCUGGACCGGUAUUGACGCUGAGGCGCGAAAGCUAGGGGAGCAAACGGG
rnacentral:rRNA from 1 species